AUAAAAGCAAAUGGGAGAGUGUGUCCCACCUGAAAUUCAAACACGGGGAUGUUGUCUUGGUCCCUUAUCCAUUUGUUUUCACUCUAUAUGUGGAGAUGAAACGGUUUCACGAAAACCUGUCACCUGGUAAACCAAUAAACAACAGUCCUCUCGGGUUGGUCCUGGCAGAGAGGAAAGCAGCAGGAGCCACGAUGAGGAAACGAAAACGCAUGGAAGUGCCCAGCUCUCCCAGCAGGCCAGGGCUGGACAGGUCAGUGGUGUUGGGAGAGGGGCUCAAUCCUGUAUCCUAGGUAGGCCUGCC
rnacentral:lncRNA from 1 species